CUUCUCUCCACUUCUCUCUCGCUUCUUUUUUACUCUCGUUUCUCUCUGCUUCCACGUCUCUCACAAAUCUGGCGUUUCUCUCUUCCAUCUCUUCCUCUCUAGGUCUCCUUGUUCGCAUUCUUGCCUCUCCCUCCUCGUCUCCUCAUGCCCUCUCCCCUCUGUCCUCUGCGCUCUUCUCGCCUCUCCUCUCCCUCCCCGUCUGGUUCUGUUAGUGUAAA
rnacentral:lncRNA from 10 species